rnacentral:rRNA from 1 species
AGAGUUUGAUCCUGGCUCAGGACGAACGCUGGCGGCAUGCUUAACACAUGCAAGUCGAACGAGCAUUAAAUUUUUAAUGUGUAGUGGCGAACGGGUGCGUAACGCGUAAGAACCUACCUAUCGGAGGGGGAUAACAUUGGGAAACUGUUGCUAAUACCCCAUAAAAGCUGAGGAGUGAAAGGUUUAAAACCGCCGAUAGAGGGGCUUGCGUCUGAUUAGCUAGUUGGAGGGGGUAAUGGCCUCCCAAGGCCACGAUCAGUAGCUGGUCUGAGAGGAUGAUCAGCCACACUGGGACUGAGACACGGCCCAGACUCCUACGGGAGGCAGCAGUGAGGAAUUUUUCGCAAUGGGCGAAAGCCUGACGAAGCAAUGCCGCGUGCAGGAAGAAGGCCUGUGGGUCGUAAACUGCUUUUCUUAGAGAAGAAGUUCUGACGGUAUCUGAGGAAUAAGCACCGGCUAACCCUGUGCCAGCAGCCGCGGUAAUACAGGGGGUGCAAGCGUUGUCCGGAAUGAUUGGGCGUAAAGCGUCUGUAGGUGGCUCGUAAAGUCUAAUGUCAAAUACCAGGGCUCAACCUUGGAUCGGCAUUAGAGCACUCACGAGCUUGAGUACGGUAGAGGCAGAGGGAACUCCAAGUGGAGCGGUGAAAUGCGUAGAGAUUUGGAAGAACACCAGAGGCGAAGGCGCUCUGCUGGGCCGAAACUGACACUGAGAGACGAAAGCUGGGGGAGCGAAUAGGAUUAGAUACCCUAGUAGUCCCAGCCGUAAACUAUGGAGACUAAGUGCUGCCGCAAGCAGUGCUGUAGCUAACGCGCUAAGUCUCCCGCCUGGGGAGUAUGCUCGCAAGAGUGAAACUCAAAGGAAUUGACGG